rnacentral:rRNA from 1 species
CCUACGGGAGGCAGCAGUGGGGAAUCUUGGGCAAUGGAGGCAACUCUGACCCAGCAAUGCCGCGUGAAUGAAGAAGGUCUUCGGAUUGUACAGUUCUUUAGUCAGGGAAGAAGUCAAUGACGGUACCUGAAGACUAAGCUCCGGCUAACUACGUGCCAGCAGCCGCGGUAAUACGUAGGAGGCAAGCGUUAUCCGGAAUGACUGGGCGUAAAGGGUGCGUAGGUGGGUUGACAAGUUAGUAGCGCAACUCCGGAGCUCAACUUCGGAACUACUACUAAAACUGUUGGACUUGAGUGCAGGAGGGGCAAGCGGAAUUCCUAGUGUAGCGGUGGAAUGCGUAGAUAUUAGGAGGAACACCAGUGGCGAAGGCGGAUUGCUAGACUGUAACUGACACUGAGGCACGAAAGCGUGGGGAGCAAACAGGAUUAGAUACCCGGGUAGUC